GAUGAACGCUGGCGGCGUGCCUAAUACAUGCAAGUCGAACGAGGCCCUUUGUAUUCGUACGAAGGUGUCCUAGUGGCGAACGGGUGAGUAACACGUAGGUGACCUGCCCCGAAGCGGGGGACAACUCCGGGAAACUGGAGCUAAUACCCCAUGUUCUCCAUGGUGUUAGAGGACCAUGGAGCAAAGGAGCAAUCCACUUUGGGAGGGGCCUGCGGCCCAUCAGCUAGUUGGUAGGGUAAUGGCCUACCAAGGCUAUGACGGGUUGGGGACCUGAGAGGGUGGUCCCCCACACUGGAACUGAAACACGGACCAGACACCUACGGGUGGCAGCAGUAGGGAAUAUUGCACAAUGGGCGAAAGCCUGAUGCAGCAACGCCGCGUGCGCGAUGAAGGCCUUCGGGUUGUAAAGCGCUUUUCUGGGGGAAGAGGAAGGACGGUACCC
rnacentral:rRNA from 1 species